UUCAUCUUUCUCCAUUAAAUUUCUCGGUGAACAAUUAGAAAAUAAAUUGCUCUCAAAAUCAAAAGCUCUCCCUUUUUUUUUAAAAAAAAAAAAUAAUCUCCUGAAGUCCACACCUCUCAGCGAUUCUCUAUCUUGAGAAUAAUGAGGAAGAACCCAUGGCAAUGUUCGGGGUUUUGAAGUUUCUAUUUUUUCAUUUUUUGGGCAUUCGUGAGUUUAAAGGAAGAGUUCAAGUCGUUCGUGUUCGUGCAAUGACUUGAAGGGGAAUUGUGAAGAACUUGGUAUUCAAUGAUUGUUCUGUAAAAUUAAAAUUGGGACACGAUUUUUCUGCUGUGAGUAGUCACAUACUCCUUUCAACUACAAUGUGUGAUCUACAGAUGGCCACGUAUUUGAGAAGCUGCAACACGUUAAACAACAAGAAAAAAGAAAAAGAAGCAAAAUUUAAGAGAUGUUGAUAAAGAAAGAAGCAAGCAGAACGAGAAAGAAGAAGAAAUACACCAAGGUUUAACGUGGUUUGGUUAACAAAGCAUACAUCCACGAGAGGAGCUACUAUUGAUGAGUUCUUGGAGGAAUUUACAAGGAAAAAAUAGAGUCGAGAUAAGAUCUCUCUCAAAUUUCACUUUACUUAAUUUUCUCUCUUUUAGAUCCUUUAUAUAUAGGAUGUUUUACACGUUGGUUAGAGGAGUAAAGAGAAAGUAAUUAUUGGUUUCAUAGUGAGUUAGUUACUGCCUUUCCAAGUCUUCACCUUGAAAACAACAUUACUGUUGAUUAAUAAUUAGCUUUUCUUCUCUAAUCACCCUUCUUCUAACCUUUUUCAGGUAGCUCAAAUCCGAUGAGGUCAAUGCACUUUUGAAGUUUAAGCUAAGUGACAGUCUUUAUCAACAUAUCUGAGGCAUUGUCUGAGGUAUGAACUUUGGGAACUUCGAUCUUUUCAUCUUCUAUUUGUUCUCUGAUGAAGUGCUAUUUCACAUCUAUAUGCUUUGUACGAUUAUUAAGGGUAUUCAAAAAGCCUGAUGACCCGAAAAAACCGAUCAACCCAACCCAACCCAUGCAGUUUGGGUUGGGUUUUCAACUUAUUUGGAUUGGAUUGGGUUCAAAUAAAUAAAAAUGUUAUGGGUUGGGUUGG